rnacentral:rRNA from 1 species
UUGUGCAAAGGUAGCAUAAUCAUUAGUCUCUUAAUUGGUGACUUGUAUGAAGGAUUGGAUGAGAUAUAAACUGUCUUAAAAGUAUUUAAUUGAAUUUAAUUUUUUAAUUAAAAAGUUAAAAUAAAUUAAAAAGACGAGAAGACCCUAUAGAGUUUUAUAUUAAUUUAAAUUAAAAUUAUUUAUAAAUUUAUUAAUAUAAAUUUAAAUUUAUAUUUUAUUGGGGUGAUAAAAAAAUAAAUUAAACUUUUUUUAAAAAUUUACAUAAAUAAGUGAAUUAUUGAUCCAAUUUUAUUGAUUAUAAGAAAAAAUUACCUUAGGGAUAACAGCGUAAUUUUUUUUUUUAGUUCUAAUAAAAAAAAGAGUUUGCGACCUCGAUGUUGGAUCAGGACA